rnacentral:rRNA from 1 species
AACGAACGCUGGCGGCAUGCCUAACACAUGCAAGUCGAACGAGACCUUCGGGUCUAGUGGCGCACGGGUGCGUAACGCGUGGGAAUCUGCCCUUGGGUUCGGAAUAACAGUUGGAAACGACUGCUAAUACCGGAUGAUGACGUAAGUCCAAAGAUUUAUCGCCCAAGGAUGAGCCCGCGUAGGAUUAGCUAGUUGGUGAGGUAAAGGCUCACCAAGGCGACGAUCCUUAGCUGGUCUGAGAGGAUGAUCAGCCACACUGGGACUGAGACACGGCCCAGACUCCUACGGGAGGCAGCAGUGGGGAAUAUUGGACAAUGGGCGAAAGCCUGAUCCAGCAAUGCCGCGUGAGUGAUGAAGGCCUUAGGGUUGUAAAGCUCUUUUACCCGGGAUGAUAAUGACAGUACCGGGAGAAUAAGCCCCGGCUAACUCCGUGCCAGCAGCCGCGAU